AGCUUUACAAAAUAGGCUAGAAGAAAAGGAAUUAUUUAGGCUCAAUAAAGUUUUGUUGGUUUAGGAAAUGAAACAUAAAUCAAUGGAUGAAGUUUGGGCUAAGUAUUCAAAAGCCGAACUAACACAAUAAGAGUGUGUUAACCCGUAACUUAGGAGAAUGCUUAGGUUGGUAGGGUGUUGAUGGAAGGUUUGUUAAGUGGAUAGAAACUUCGACCCGCUAUCAAAAAUGAUAGGAACCUCAGUACGAAUCGAACGCCACACUUUUGGGAUUAAAGUGAUAAGUUCGGAUAGAAAGACGGGUUGACGCCACAAGGGUUACUUGAUAAGUCAGACGAGUCUUUGGAGAACAAUGAGAGUUGAAAACAAACUCACAAAGUAAACAAAUUUCAUAUAAAGUUUAAAAGUAUAUUGUCUAACCUUUUACAUGUUUACAAGCCAACUAUUUAUACUAAAACUAGGACAUGAAUAGCCAAUUCUGACCAUUAAUAAGUAACAUGAAUCAGCCCAUGAACCGAUUUUAAUGAUAUAUGUUCAUCCAUUGAAUGAAAUUUAAGUCACAUUCGUCCCCCCCUUGCCAUCCAUAGAUGCAUCCUUAGUCAUGAAGCAAAUGUUUGUUCAUCAUGGGUAAUAAAUUUGACUUCUAGAAUCUGCCCAUUCAUCCCUUCAAUUUGGAUGGUGCUUUUAAGGCUCCUUUGUUUCCCACGAAAAAGGCUCCUAGGUGAGCUCAAACGGCAGCUUAAAUGCAGGUUUUAAUUUGCUGCUCAUGCAUUCUCUUAAUUGAGACGGCACAUUAAUGGCUCUAUUGAAGGGACCGAAAUAGCACAUGGAGAAGAGGGAUUUUAAUGCCGUCCCAUGCAUAGGGAGAAGAAUGCAGCAACCAAUUUAAUGUCGUCCAAGCAUGCACCAAAAUUCAAGAGCCAUUGAUCUUCACGAAAAGGCUCAUAGGAAAUAGGAAUCAGCAGCCCUUAAUGAGUCCUUUGCUAUGCACGAAAAUGGAUGUAUAGAAACACAAUGCAUGCUUCCUUUAAUGCCGUUCAUGCAUGCUUCUACAUAAUAAAUUGUUCUUUAAAUUCGUCCCCAUAUCCAUGCACCUGCACACAUUUAAAUCAGCCAUUAACUCAAGUUUUAAGGCAAAACAAAAUUGGGUCAAUAAGGCAUAUUAAAUUCGGCUGUUUAGGAAAAAUACAGCAGCCAACUUCCCUUUAAAUGCCGUUCCAUGCAUGGGAACAUCUCCUUAAAUGCAUGUUUCCUUUGCCAUUUAGCCGAAUUCAAUGUCCUGCAGACACAAAAUAAAUUCGGUCAAAUAAUUCAUGCACAUUACAAUUAAAUUCGGCAGCCACAAGACACCUUAAAGUGGUUCAUUAAUUCGGCUGAAUUAAGUCAACAAUUAGACAUAUUAAAUUCGGCACUUUAAAGCACUAAAGACACAUUAAACAACAGCAUUAAAUCCGUCCAGACACAUUAAAAGUUGUACUAAAUAGAACACAUUUAAAUAGUCUUAAGACAAAUUUAAAGCAUGCAUUAAAACCAAUAAAACAUAUUUAAAAUGUCCAGAUUUCUUAAUUAAAUACUUAGUAAUUAUUUAAGCUAAAAUAACUAACUUAACUAAUUAAUUUAUUCCAGCAAAUUAAAUUAAAUGAGCUAGUGAGCUAAUAACGAGCUUAAUGAGCUGAAUUGAGCUCGAAUGAGCUGAACCAAAAAUGUUUCCGGGGCGGGGUCGUAUCAUCCCCCCCUUCUUCGAAGCGACUUGCCCUCAAGUCGAGCUUCUUGUCCCUCAUAAAAAGUUUGUCCUUAUACAACCCUUUACGAUAGCAUGGAAUGGAUAGGCUCACAAAAUCAGGUAUGUUAAAACGUUCAUUUGCCUUGAAUCUUUUCCAAAUUUCUUCGUUCAAACAUAGUAAGCUUUCACAACAAUUCAACGACCACACAUUUUCUACAUUAUCAGGUAAAUAAAAAAAACCAUUGGAUUCAUGCUUUUGUUCGAUUGAAACAUGUAGUGGACGUUUGCCUAUUGAUUCACCAACAAAUUUAUCAACAAUAAUAGUCUUACCAACAUAUUUCAAACGAAAUGAAGAUACCAUCAGCAUAAUCCUUUCAUCACAAACAAAUGAAUAGAAAUCUCGCACAAUAAAACUUGGCAAUGGAAAUUGAACGAUGGGUUCUUCCAAAUUCGCAUUAUCAGCAUCAAUCAAAAUAGAUAAAUCACUUUCAAAUAAAGCUGAACAAUUAAACACUUCACGAUUGAAAUACUUUGCAAAAACCAAUUCUUCAAAAAGAUGUUUAUUUCCAACCGAAUAGGGCAGAAAGAUUUUAAAGUUCUCAUGAGUCAUACCUUGUUCACCUUGAAGAAUGGAAAAACAAGGAUCAUUUUUACCUUCAUCGAUCAUCACAAAUCUUCUCUCCUUGGACUUGUAAUGCAAUCGAAGCUCCUUGGUGGAAUUAACCUUGUCGAAAUGAAAUACGUACUUCAGGUAUAACCACAGAAAUAGACUAAGGAUUGAAUUGAAAUCAAAUUUAUCAUACCUCGUUUCCUUAUUGAACAACCAAGCAUCAAAACAAUAGAAAUUGUUCGCACACAAUUGGUCAUGCUUGAAUUUCCCAACAAAUGUACUAAAACAGAUUCUGGGUUUAAAAAUUUGAUUUUGAUUAUUAACGCCAAAGAGUAGCAAAGAGUUCAUUAAACCAAACUUGUCAACGCAAAAAUUUGUUUUGGGAAAGCUCGUCUCACCACCAUUUGAGAUUAAAACACUAAUCAAUGAAGGAAAAUCAACCACUUUUUGGCAUGGAGCUUUUACAAAGAUGAAGUCGACAUUAUGUUUAUCCACAUUCAAGGAAGAUAAUGGAAAUUCAAGUGCUAGGUGUUCCUUACCUAUCUUACCUUCGGGCUCAUGUGGUUCAAUUUCAACUUCAUCCUUACCUUUUUCGGUCAGGCAAAAACGUCGCUCGUCAGGAAGAUAUUGAAGUUGAUAUUCGUCAUAGAGAUUUGUCGAAACCUGAAAAGAAGGAACAGAACAAAAACAAACAUCUCGGGGGUUAGUUAAAAUUUUCCUCUCUUUUUCUUGUUCUCGCUCACCAUCUUCCUUUUCUCUCAUUUCUUUUUCAACAUCUUUUUCCUUUUCAAUUUUUUUCUCAAUAUCAAUAUCAAUAUCAAUCUCAAUCUCAAAUUCUUUUUUCUUUUUCUCACUCUCAUUUUCUUUUUUUCUUCUCUCAAUUUCAUUCAAGAUUCGUUCAUUUUCUUGCAUCAACAUCUCUUGUCUUUCUUUUCUUCUAUUUUCUUUUUGUCUUGUUCUUUCAUUACAAGAAGAUGAUAACUUAUAAGAACCAUAAUGACAAGCUUCUCGUUUGAAAGAAAUGGCAGAUUCAUCAUGCAAGUCACGAUCAUCUCUUUGUGAAUAACCCUCCGUAUUCGAGUACUUUGACAUUCUUGAAACACGUUCGCCUCUUCGUAAAUAAUCCUUCGUAGUUGAAUAAAUUGAGGCAUUUGUAGAGACAUGAUUACCUUUUUGUAUAUCAUCUCGAAAGGACUCAAACUCGUAGUUUGCUUCUCUUGGUCUCGAACGCCUUGUUGAAUAGACGUCUUGAUAAGAGUCUCUUGUCGAGUAGUGUCGUCGGAAUGAUCUUAACUCCGUCUCUUGUCUCGAUGGAAUUUGUUUUUGUUGGGCUCUUGUCUCUAUUCGAUCCAAUCUAUCAUGCAAUAUAUCAAAAUUUGAUUUCACCAUUCUACGCAUUUCUUGCAUUAAAUAUUGGAAAUCUGAUUCAGAAAAUUCUUCUUGAAACAUGAUUUAAUUCUCACCACAAAAAAUCUCACGUUUCACUCGCAAAGAAAAAAAUUCGCACAAAUUUGGCUUUUACUUCUCUCGAAUGGUCUCACCAAACACUCUUGCCUUUUUCCACUCGAUUUUCGCCUCUCGAAGUUCUUCGCAAACUAAGUCGACAAAUUAAUACCGUUUGGCGUCGGCUUACAAAAUUAAUUUGGCUUGGUGGUAAUGACGUCGGAAAUGGUAGGCUAUCAAACAAAAUAGAAAUGGUUAAGUGUGGCUAUAUAGAUAUGGUCCUUCGGGCAACAAGCAAUGCUUUUACAAUCCAACUAUGAACUCUUCUCUUUUUUCUUUUUUUUUUUUAAUUCCGAUUUUUUUUUAAUUUCGAAUUUCUCUUUUUUUUUCAAUACUAAAUACAACAAGAAAAAAAAUGAAUUGAAUACAAACUUUUUUUUUUUCGGAUUUUUUUUUUUCGGAUUUUUUUAAAUUUUUUUCAUUUUUUUUUACAAUACCGUAAUACCGAUAACGUCGAUCUUACUCCGAUUCAGCUAGCUCUGAUACCAAAUGAUACGAUCCGGCCCGGUUAAUGAAUCCGAGUCGUUGUUGUGCCCGAUCGUGAAUUGGAGUAAUUUGAAAGCUUUACAAAAUAGGCUAGAAGAAAAGGAAUUAUUUAGGCUCAAUAAAGUUUUGUUGGUUUAGGAAAUGAAACAUAAAUCAAUGGAUGAAGUUUGGGCUAAGUAUUCAAAAGCCGAACUAACACAAUAAGAGUGUGUUAACCCGUAACUUAGGAGAAUGCUUAGGUUGGUAGGGUGUUGAUGGAAGGUUUGUUAAGUGGAUAGAAACUUCGACCCGCUAUCAAAAAUGAUAGGAACCUCAGUACGAAUCGAACGCCACACUUUUGGGAUUAAAGUGAUAAGUUCGGAUAGAAAGACGGGUUGACGCCACAAGGGUUACUUGAUAAGUCAGACGAGUCUUUGGAGAACAAUGAGAGUUG
rnacentral:lncRNA from 1 species